AAAACAUGAAGAUCACUCAGCUCUCCCCUCUUCUUUAUGACCAUUUACUCUGUUGAACAAAUGACUUUGUGCUUUUUUAUUCUUUGGGACAGAGUUGAUUAUUCUGCAAGUCUUUUCUCUGGAUCAAAGUAAAUCACUCUUUUAUGGUUGCUACUCCCAAACCUGUAGUUCAUGAGAAUAGUACAAUGUAA
rnacentral:lncRNA from 1 species